rnacentral:rRNA from 1 species
UACGGAGGGGGCUAGCGUUGUUCGGAAUUACUGGGCGUAAAGCGCACGUAGGCGGCUUUGUAAGUUAGAGGUGAAAGCCCGGAGCUCAACUCCGGAAUUGCCUUUAAGACUGCAUCGCUCGAAUCAUGGAGAGGUGAGUGGAAUUCCGAGUGUAGAGGUGAAAAUUCGUAGAUAUUCGGAAGAACACCAGUGGCGAAGGCGACUCACUGGACAUGUAUUGACGCUGAGGUGCGAAAGCGUGGGGAGCAAACAGGG